rfam:Felis catus breed Abyssinian Contig155470.1, whole genome shotgun sequence. [26-MAY-2016]
GCUUGGGUGGCUCAGUCAGUUAAGCGUCUGACUUUGGAUCAGGUCAUGAUCUUACGGCUUGUGAGUUCAAGCCCCACAUUAGGCU